rnacentral:rRNA from 1 species
AACGAACGCUGGCGGUAUGCUUAACACAUGCAAGUCGAACGAACUUUACCAAAGCUUGCUUUGGUAAAUGUGAGUGGCAGACGGGUGAGUAACACGUGGGAAUCUACCCAUCAGUACGGAAUAACAUUUGGAAACAAAUGCUAAUACCGUAUAUUCUCUAAGGAGGAAAGAUUUAUCGCUGAUGGAUGAGCCCGCGUCGGAUUAGGUAGUUGGUAGGGUAAUGGCCUACCAAGCCGACGAUCCGUAGCUGGUUUGAGAGGAUGAUCAGCCACACUGGGACUGAGACACGGCCCAG